GUCAAUUCUGAUAAUUGGUUAAUUUACACCAAGUGAUAUUUUUGAUCAAACGAUAUAUUCAAUAAUAGAAUUUAAUUAAAUGAAAAUUAAAUUCAUUUAUUGAAUUAACAUAUACAUGUAUUGAGACUCGACAAAUCGAGUCGUCCUUACUCUUAUUAUGCUAAUUUGAGCAUGUGACAGCCGAGUAGUAAAAGUCCGUGCAAUUUAACGGUCUCUUUUACCUUGAAAACCGAACAGAGUGGACGUUAAAAAAUUAAGACCCAUCCUCUCCCACCCUUAAGAAUUGAACUUUGUUUGCUGCUGGUUUUAUUUAUUUUUCAGAUGCUCCAGUCUUCAUACAAAUAUCCGUCAUGGUAACAUGCUGAAGCAGUCACACAACCGGAGCGAAAUUUACUUCAUUUUAUGCAGACUAUGGAUAGCCCAGCUGCUAAUUCUGAAAUAUUGCUGAAUGGACGCGCCUUCAGUACACCAGCUUUGGAUCGCCCAGCUGUGAUACAAUGAUUAGUUCAAUCGUCAUCAACAUUUUAUUGAUUGACAAAUAUUUUGGUUGUGUACUGUUGUUGUAACAGUUGUUGUUGUUUUAUGAAUGAAUUUUGAUUAAAUGUUGCCAUGACAAUUCAAUAUCCAAACAAAAUCAGUGUUUGUUAUUUGUUGUAGUGAAAUACAAAUCAAGGCAUCAAUGGCGUCUGUUCGUCAAUUCUGAUAAUUGGUUAAUUUACACCAAGUG
rnacentral:lncRNA from 1 species